ensembl:ncRNA lncRNA:CR44075 long non-coding RNA:CR44075
GAAUUUGUUUAGCCUCGGCCCGCUCUCAAGCGCAAGGGCCCUUCGGCUUCGUUUUACCAUAAUAUCCCAGUCAUGCGGAUGGCCCCGCCCCUUUCCACCGCCCGCCUUCUUGUCCAUAAUUCGAUUUAUGUAAAACUCUUGUAGUCCUGCAGUCCUGCGACUGCUGCAAUUUGCUGCCAGUGCUCAAGAGCUGCUUGUGUCCGAAUGCAAUUGCCAAAAGGUGUGAGGUCCAGGCUGUCAGGCGUAAGGCGUCUCUCCCUGCUGACUCCAUAAAGAAUGCAGUAUCAGGGGAAUUGAACGGAGCUGAACUUCGGUCGAACACCUCGUGGAUGGCUGUGCUCCACAUCUGCACAUCCAUUGCCGAAAUCUCUUGCUGGCAGCCGUAAAGCUUGUACUCAAAUUUGUUAUGCCACAUCUGACCGGCUUACAGGACCCACAGGACCCGAAGGACACGCAAUAACAUCGGAGCCCCAAAGCCAGAGUCAGAGUCGUUUGCAUUGAUACGAUCAUAAGCAUAAAGCGGGCACACACAUAUAUCGAUAUCAAUAAAAAGGAAACGCUGGGGGAAAUCACAGAAAUUCUGCUACGGCAUACAUACAUAACCCUUAGCCCCGCCGACCCUCGCAGAUGGCAUGACAUUUAUUUGCUUUAUUUCGAUGAUUUUACAUGACGCAAAUUUAUGCACAAAUGCAGAUAGAACCAGGAGCGGAACCAAACCAGCAGAGGCAAAAAAAAAAAACAUAAACGGGAAAAAAGGAUAUGGAAAGGGGAUGAUUCCAGCUGCUGCACUCGCAGGGUGACAGAAAACAUGUGCACUCG